AUUGAACGCUGGCGGCAGGCCUAACACAUGCAAGUCGAGCGGAAGCAGGGAGCUUGCUCCUGGAUUCAGCGGCGGAGGGGCGAGUAAUGCCUAGGAACCUGCGUGGCAGCGGGGGAGAAGGUGCGGACACGGGGGCUAAUACCGCAAUCGUCCAGAGGGCGAACGGGGGGGAUCAGCGGACCUUACGCCAUUAGAUGAGCCGAGGUCGGAUUAGCUAGUUGGUGGGGUAAAGGCCUACCAAGGCGACGAUCCGUAGCUGGUCUGAGAGGAUGAUCAGCCACACUGGAACUGAGACACGGUCCAGACUCCUACGGGAGGCAGCAGUGGGGAAUAUUGGACAAUGGGCGCAAGCCUGAUCCAGCCAUGCCGCGUGUGUGAAGAAGGUCUUCGGAUUGUAAAGCACUUUUAUUGGGGAAGAAGAGCAGUAAGUUAAUACCUCGCUGUUUUGACGUUACCCACAGAAUAAGCACCGGCUAACUUCGUG
rnacentral:rRNA from 1 species